GGAACAGUACUCAAGAGGCUGAAGAGGCGAUUAUGCUAAGACUGUAGGGGAGGCGACUCCGCGGAGGUUCAAAUCCUCUCUGUUCCGCCA
rnacentral:tRNA from 1 species